CUCCAUAACCAUCAGAAAUACAAAGGUGGCCGACAGCGGAAACUACACCUGUUUUUUUCCAAAUCUUCGGCCACCUCAAACAUUCAAGAUUGAGCUUGUUGUUGGUGCAGCUCCAAAACCUUUUGUCUAUCACGUAAAACUAAGGAUGAAUUUGUUCUGCAAUGUGAGGUUCAUGGCUCUCCAAAACCUAAAGUAGAGUGGCUGGACAGUGCUACAAAGAUCCUUCCUGCUGAGGAGCCCCAGGUCUCAGAGAGAGGAGGCCGUUUCUACAUCACUCUCAACGCUACUGUGACCAGGGCUGACUACUAUUACUGUGUAGCCACUCAGGAGACCAUCAGCCUUCAGAUUUAUGCUGGAAUUUAUUUCAAUGGUGAUCUACAGCCAUCUAUCAAGAUUAUUAGUGAAACAAAACAGGGCAGUGCUGCAGUGUGUGGUUCGAGGUACUUCUGCAGACCUUAAAGUGGAAUGGCAGGACAGUGCUGGAAAGACACUUGCUGCCAAAGAGCCCCAGUUCUCAGAAAGAGGAGG